GGAAUAAACACAGUUUGUGGAAGAUUGCACCAGAGAGGGGGAUGAUCGAUAGAGAGAGACCGUCAGCGCUGCCCUGUUAGAGAGGCGGGGAGAGAGAGAGAGAGAGAGAGAGAACACUCUCGGAUUCUGCAACAGGUCAGUCUGAGUCAACCUGAGCUUUCAUUGAGCGACUGCAGCCUCAGGGAGACGUGAGAGAUUGCGACCUGAGGGGAAAGUUCAAAUCCCAGGAACUCUGCGAGGAUCCCCGGUUGUUCGUGGAUGGGAUCAGCUCGCAGGAUCUGAACCAGGGGAGUCUGGGAAACUGCUGGUUUGUGGCGGCCUGUUCCUGCCUGGCAACAGAGCCCUCGCUAUGGAAAAAGGUGAUCCCGGAUCAUGGGGGUCAGGAAUGGGAUCCGAAGCGACCGGGGGACUACGCUGGGAUCUUCCAUUUCCGUUUC